rnacentral:misc_RNA from 1 species
AAUUCUCAACCUCACCAAUUUUGUCAUGAAGUUGUGUGUAGGCUUGGAGGUGGGGGGUUUUGCAGGUCCACAAUAUGGUGGUCUGCUCCUCUGAAAUGUAUUAGCGGGUUAGGCCCCUAAUCUAUUGGUGUGAUAACUAUCUACUCCGUGGAUUGGGUUUUGGCUUAUCCAUAGACCUGCUCCAAACCGUCCUUCUCUGGACAACUCCUGACAU